UUUAGUUUUGUUGUGGUCGUUCUUUCUCGUAUUCCUCUUCUUCAAAAAAAUGGGCAAUAAACAAAAAGCUUGUGUUAUCCAUUAUAUUGUACUGUACAAGUUUUAAACGCAAGAAGCAAAAGAGACGUUGGAUGAAACAAUGGAUAGAUACCAUUAACCGGAGACGAAUGGGAGAAAAUAGCAAAGGACUUUGGGGCAAAGUGGCAAUUUAGGAACUGCCUUGGGAAAAUAGACGGAAAACACGUUCACAUUAUUAAACCAGCGAAUUCCGGAUCAAGGUACUAUAAUUACAAGGGCACCCACAGCAUCGUUUUGAUGGCGAUUGUAGAUGCUAAUUAUAAUUUUAUAAUGGUUGAUGUUGGCACUAACGGACGGGUAUCGGAUGGAGGAGUUCUUUACAAUACCGAUUUUUGGGAAAUGUUCCAAAACAAUCGGUUGAAUAUUCCUGAUGCCUCAAAAAUACCGACGAAAACUUACUUACGUUUUUAUAGGGGAUGAUGCCUUUGCGCUGAGCGAACAUUUAUUGAAGCCAUUUAGCCAAGAGGAUUUAUCAGUGACAAACUGGAUUUUUAAUUACCGAUUGUCACGGGCUCGCCGAGUAGUUGAAAACGCAUUUGGCAUCCUUGUUACUCGAUUUGGUGUAUUUCAAAAAGCUAUAAAUUUAUCACCUGAAAAGGCCACCGUUGUUGUUUUAGCCUGCUGUUAUCUACACAAUUUUUUAAUGAAAACAGCAAAUACAAAUAAUUAUUAUAGUAACAUAUUAAAUGUAGAAAACAAGGAAACAGGGGACGUCGUUAUUGGCACAGCACAGAUAAGCAAGUUAGGGAACGCUUUAGAAACUACUUAAAUAAAGAGGGGCAAGUGGAUUGGCAAAGAAAAAUAUUGAAUUUAACUUAAUCGAAAUAGGUAUUUUGGUUCGUUUAAAAAAUGUAAAAUGUAACUUUCCUGUUCCAAUAAAACACUAUUUACUUAC